rnacentral:ncRNA from 2 species
GCACCAUCCAGAGCGGCCGAGAGAUCUGGCUCGAGGACGCCGCAGCAACCCCCCGGUCGCUCGGGCGUGGGUGCUACCGCCAGGGCCGAUGGAGG